GCAGCCGCGGUAAUACGGAGGGUGCAAGCGUUAAUCGGAAUUACUGGGCGUAAAGCGCAUGUAGGCUGUAUGUUAAGUUGGGGGUGAAAUCCCACGGCUCAACCGUGGAACUGCCCUCAAAACUGGCAAACUAGAGUGUGAGAGAGGAUGGCGGAAUUCCAGGUGUAGGAGUGAAAUCCGUAGAUAUCUGGAAGAACAUCAGUGGCGAAGGCGGCCAUCUGGCUCAUAACUGACGCUGAGAUGCGAAAGCGUGGGUAGCAAACAGGAUUAGAUACCCC
rnacentral:rRNA from 1 species